UAAGUCACUGGUGCCGUCAUGCCGUACAAAUCUUUCGCCUUUUACUAAAGAUUUCCGUGGUGGCGCCAGGCUAUGACCAAAACCAAAUUUUUGAAGCGCGAAAGCGCA
rfam:Guillardia theta CCMP2712 unplaced genomic scaffold GTITHscaffold_82, whole genome shotgun sequence.